UAUAGCAGUUUGUGACCAAACUUUUGACUAAUAUUUUUCAGUCCACUGCCUGAAAGUCUUUAACUAACAGCUGACGUUAUCUUAAAAUCAUUUAUUUUAAUCAAAAAUUAUUAAACUAAUUACAACUACCAUCAGCCAUACUUGCAAGGAUCUUAAUAUGCUGUCACACAUUAUCAAAAUGAAAGGUUUAAAACCGGCAACCUCUAGCAUACGGUGGCCAACUUACCGAAAACCCCACUUGUUCAAGACACACAGGUGAGUCUUGGUAAAAUGUGCUCGGCUCCUCCUUUGUCCAGCCAAAAAGUAAUCAUGCUACAGUUUGUCAAUGUGAGACUUUUGGACAUUUUGUUGUCUUUGCUUUAUCUAGGCUGUGCUGAAAAGACGUGUAAUAAGGAAACAACCCGGCAUCCACCACUUAAAAGACCGUGAGCGGAUGUUUUUUCCAGGCUGGGACACUCAGUUGCCUUCAUCUCAUCAAACAAAGCAGCCACCUGUGAGGUGUGAAAAAUUGCCUGUUCACCUACCCUUCCUGAAAGCCAGUGCCAAGACGUCCCAGAGUGUGGUGCCAACCUCUACUGUACCCAGUUUGCCCUUUUCCCUCAAGAGCAGUGUACAGCUGGACACUCCCUCUGAAUUAAAAGUGAUUGAGCACAAUGAGGAUCAAUACACCCUUAUAAGUCAGGGUGGUGUGGUAUCAGUGAAUAAGAAAAAGGUGGACUUCCUAACCUAUGAGCAAUGGGAGAAGCAGUACUACUAUCACUCAAAGCUUACCCGCAUCCCCUUGUUUGGCAACGCUUUCAAAGUCUGGCACUACAAAGUUCGAGCCAAGAGAUAUGAAAUGGCCAGGAGGUUCAUCAAAACUUCUUGUUUAUUGUGGAACAGUGUCAACGUUGUGCACUGCUGCACAUCAGCAAAAUGUGUCAUCAAAUCGGUGACACAAGCUUGUGUCCCAUAGAGAAAAAACACACUUACACACUUAAGGAGUUCCAGGACAUCCAGUCAAAACAACUAGAGAAGCUUCAUCCGUCUGGUUGACUAUUUGGUUAUUAACAGCGUACAAACCUUAGUCGCGAGUUCAGUGGCCAAACUACUGGCUGUGUUCUAAGAGCGCGUAAGUCAAACGCCCAGCAAUGCCGUUAUUCAGAGCUGGAGCCGAAGCUCUGAGGGUGACCCUUCUGAUGAACACAUGAGCCAAAAGUCGGAAACUCACUGCAGCCAGCCUGUGUUCAUCUCUGAGCUGAUGCUGGACCCAAAUGCCUUGACCUACAAACCCUCUGGGGAGGACUUUCACGUUAGUUUUCCAAUUUGUUAAAAACCCAUUAUGCUUUACUCUACUCAUUACCCAUUUAAUACCUUACAGUGUCUCUUUGAAAUCUCACAUGAAAACUGUUGCUGAGAUCCUCGGGUCGUUUGACAAAGCGGUGAUGUCCGUUAAUAUGCU
ensembl:lncRNA